rnacentral:lncRNA from 1 species
AAAGACGGGCUCUCUAAUCUCAAAACCACCUGACUUCCGUCGACCUCCAGUAUCUAUCCCUUUGUUCGAUGCCUUACCUUUUCCUUUGUCAACAGAUUUUUCUUUGCCCUUUUAUAAUAUACCGAAAAUAAAUAUCGAACUUUAGUCAAAUUGACCAAAGUGCGAGGUUGGUAUAUUUUGGAAAGUCCGAAGGUGUUAAGAUGAUCAAAAGUGCGUUAUUGGAGGUUUUCGAGAGCUAAGAAUUAAAAAUCUGCAAACUGCAAGUUUUGAGCUCUCGGGGAC